rnacentral:rRNA from 1 species
CGAAGGGGGCUAGCGUUGUUCGGAAUUACUGGGCGUAAAGCGCGCGCAGGCGGUCUUCCAAGUCAGUGGUGAAAGCCUGGAGCUCAACUCCAGAACUGCCAUUGAAACUGUUAGACUUGAGUACGAGAGAGGUGAGUGGAAUUCCCAGUGUAGAGGUGAAAUUCGUAGAUAUUGGGAAGAACACCAGUGGCGAAGGCGGCUCACUGGCUCGUAACUGACGCUCAGGCGCGACAGCGUGGGGAUCAAACAGGACUAGAUACCCUGGUAGUCCACGCCGUAAACGAUGAAUGCUAGCCGUUGGAUAGCUUGCUAUUCAGUGGCGCAGCUAACGCAUUAAGCAUUCCGCCUGGGGAGUACGGCCGCAAGGUUG